UGUUAUUUGGAUGCUGCUCAG
rnacentral:siRNA from 1 species